rnacentral:lncRNA from 1 species
GUUACUCUGACACCAGCCGAUAAACAUUUACUCUUGACUUCAGCCGAUUUAACGUUUACUCUGACAGUGGCUGAUAAACUGCUGUUGUUCCACAGGUGUCCACUGGAGGCAGGGCUCCACAGCAGCAGUAAAGUGACCAUCCAUGAGUGUGACGAGGGAGUGGAGCCCCCUGGCUUCUGGGAGGCUCUGGGCCGCAAGGACAGGAAGGCCUACGACUGUAUGCUGCAAGACCCCGGUAAAUUUAACUUCACUCCGCGGCUCUUCCAGCUCAGCAGCUCCUCGGGGGAGUUUGUGGCGUCGGAGUUUUUCCAUCCGUCCCGAGCUCCAGACCUGGUCAGUUCCCUGCCCUUCCUGCAGGAGGACCUCUACAACGUGCCCCAGCCCGCCCUGUUCCUGGUGGAUAACUUCCACGAGGUUUACCUGUGGCAGGGCUGGUGGCCGCAGGACUCGGAGGUCACGGGUCGGCGCGGAUCAGGUGGGACGCCGACAGGAAGUGCGCCAUGGAGACGGUGCUGCAGUACUGCAAACAGAAGAACGAGAAGAAGCCUCAGAAGUCGUACCUGAUCCACGCCGGACUGGAGCCGCUCACCUUCACUAA